rnacentral:rRNA from 1 species
UAAUACCAGAUGUGGCGGAUCUUUGGCAUCAAAGAUCCACUAAACGGUUUUUCGCUUCAGGAGUGCCUCAUGGCCUAUCAGGUAGUUGGUGAGGUAAUGGCUCACCAAGCCGACGACGGGUAGCGGGUCUCAGAGGAUGAUCCGCUCGAGUGGGACUGAGACACGGCCCACACACCUACGGGUGGCAGCAGUUGGGAAUCUUGCACAAUGGGGGAAACCCUGAUGCAGCGACGCCGCGUGGAGGAUGACGGGUCUAGGCCUGUAAACUCCUUUUAUGGGGAAAGACUUAGGACGGUACCCCAUGAAUAAGGACCGGCUAACUACGUGCCAGCAGCCGCGGUAAGACGUAGGGUCCAAGCGUUGUCCGGAUUUACUGGGCGUAAAGAGCGCGUAGGCGGCUCGUUAAGUGUGAAGUGAAAUCUCUAGGGCUCAACCCAGAAACUGCUUUACAUACUGGCGAGCUAGAGGGAUGCAGAGGUUUGUGGAAUUCCUGGUGUAGCGGUGAAAUGCGUUGAUAUCAGGAGGAACACCCAUGGCGAAGGCAGCAAACUGGGCAUCAUCUGACGCUGAGGCGCGAAAGCGUGGGUAGCAAACAGGAUUAGAUACCCUGGUAGUCCACGCCCUAAACGAUGGAUACUAGGCGUAAGAGGUAUCGACCCCUCUUGUGCCGCAGCU